rnacentral:misc_RNA from 1 species
GGACACCCUGGGUCUGCAUUGCCUAGGGUUGGUGGACCUCAUGUUGGAACCGGUCCUGGUCACAUGUAUCCCCCACCACCUGCACAUACACCUGUUCCUGGGAGCUUUAUGCCAGUUACUAAUCCAGGUUUAACUCAGAGACCUGGUACGGGCCCUGUGCAACCCCCCAGCCCAACUCAGUCAAUGCAUGUGCAACCACCUGCCGCAGCUCCGGCAGCUCCUCCUCCCACUGUGCAAACAGUGAAUACUUCAGAUGUACCUGCUGAGCUGAGACCUGUUAUCAGUACUUUGACCAGACUUUUCCACGAAACAUCCGAGAUUCUUGGUGGUGCCCGAG